rnacentral:rRNA from 1 species
GACGAACGCUGGCGGCGUGCUUAACACAUGCAAGUCGAACGGAAAGGCCCUUCGGGGUACUCGAGUGGCGAACGGGCGAGUAACACGUGGGUGAUCUGCCCUGCACUUUGGGAUAAGCCUGGGAAACUGGGUCUAAUACCGAAUAGGACCACGCGCUUCAUGGUGUGUGGUGGUAAGCUUUUGCGGUGUGGGAUGGGCCCGCGGCCUAUCAGCUUGUUGGUGGGGUAAUGGCCUACCAAGGCGACGACGGGUAGCCGGCCUGAGAGGGUGACCGGCCACACUGGGACUGAGAUACGGCCCAGACUCCUACGGGAGGCAGCAGUGGGGAAUAUUGCACAAUGGGCGCAAGCCUGAUGCAGCGACGCCGCGUGAGGGAUGACGGCCUUCGGGUUGUAAACCUCUUUCACCAGGGACGAAGCGUAAGUGACGGUACCUGGAGAAGAAGCACCGGCCAACUACGUG